CCCUUGUUAGCUCAGUUGGUAGAGCGCUCCACUGGAAAUGGACAGGUUCCGGGCUCGAUACCCGGACCAGGCG
rnacentral:tRNA from 1 species